GACCUCGUGGCUCAGUUGGCAGAGCAUUUGACUAGUAUCCCAAAGGUCGCGGGUUCGAUUCCCACCGUGGCCA